rnacentral:rRNA from 1 species
GACGAACGCUGGCGGCGUGCUUAACACAUGCAAGUCGAACGGAAAGGCCCUGCUUUUGUGGGGUGCUCGAGUGGCGAACGGGUGAGUAACACGUGAGUAACCUGCCCUUGACUUUGGGAUAACUUCAGGAAACUGGGGCUAAUACCGGAUAGGAGCUCCUGCUGCAUGGUGGGGGUUGGAAAGUUUCGGCGGUUGGGGAUGGACUCGCGGCUUAUCAGCUUGUUGGUGGGGUAGUGGCUUACCAAGGCUUUGACGGGUAGCCGGCCUGAGAGGGUGACCGGCCACAUUGGGACUGAGGUACGGCCCAGACUCCUACGGGAGGCAGCAGUGGGGAAUAUUGCACAAUGGGCGGAAGCCUGAUGCAGCAACGCCGCGUGCGUGAUGACGGCCUUCGGGUUGUAAACCGCUUUCGCCUGUGACGAAGCGUGAGUGACGGUAAUGGGUAAAGAAGCACCGGCUAACUACGUG